UUUUCAACCGGAAAAAUGUUUUUCUCCUUCGGUAAAUUCUUAGGCAUUUUGUAUUUGUCCCACAUUAGACAUAUGAGAACAUAAAACACCACCAAUGGACUCGAUUUGUGGAAUAAAUUUCGCACACUAUUGAUUAUGUAUAUGAACUAA